UCAUAACUAGUAAGAUAUCACUUUGUCUUUAAAUUUUCAUCAAGGCGCAGUAAAGAGAUAUAAAAAAAGUAUAUAUCUCGAAAGAUCAUUUAACCUAGAAAGUCAUAGAAGUAACACAUUAAUUGAAGUAUUAUGAAAUCAAGGCAUAAAUAAAUAGGAUGUCUCGCAGGCGCAUAAUGGGAGUUCAUUUCCGUUUAAACAAUCUUUUCCAAAGAGGAGCUUUCUCUUCUUUUCUUCUUAUUUGGGUAAGACUUUCGUAGUAAGAAGGUUUAAAUUGUGGUUUCAAUACUACUUGCUUGGGGAUAUACUACAAUUUGGUUAAAAGGCGAACAAAGGUAAGGCGACCCUAUCAAGGCACGUAAUAAGAAGCAUACCUUAUUCCAAUAGACAUUAUCAAGCAAAUUAUUCAAAGCGUUUAACUGCUUAUUAGCCUGUUGAGGUGGCAUCUUUUGAAGUCUGGCUCUAAUAGAUGUGUCAAGAGUCUUAGGAAACGACAACCAAGGUCGCAAUUCAUCCUUCGGCCAAAGAGCAACUGCCUUUGUUAUUUUUUGGUUUAGAGACAUUAUUGAGGGUUAAAAACAAGAAUAAAGCCUCAACUUUCAAUUGCUUUGCAAGUAGAAAGAUUCUUCGACAUUCUCUGCUUUGGCCAGGCUAUAUCACCUUAUUGCGCUAAACAAUAUUGAGCGGCAAAUACAAAUAUUGUAAAUAACUUAACAGAAUAAUUACAUAUUUUGUUAGGCUUAUAAGGAUGCAAUCAGUACUACGGUGAGUUUUUUUAGUGAAUCAUCUAUUAUGUUAUACAACGUAUAUCAUUAAAUGAUCUUAAAAAGUACCGGUGCGAUGGAGUUGAUAGAACCUUUGAAAACGGUUUAAAAUUGAAGUGAGCAAGGUAGAGUCAACUAAGCAUAUUUAAGCAGUAUUUUAAAACUUUCAAUCUAUAUAAGAAAGGAUAUCUUAUUUGGAGUGGAUUAGAAAUAUGAAAUUAUCUAAG